AAUCAGCCUGCGUGAUUUUGAGCCGAGAGUUGAGUAAAAGCCGAUUGGAGGGUUAGGGUUAGUCCGACGAGCGCUGAGGAUGCUAGCCGGAAACAAUGGCCAGCCGCAAUUGCCCACACUUUUAUUCUUUAGCUCAAGAUCAUGUCCAUUGUGUCAGCGCCUUAUUGGCGAUUUGCAAAAGGUGCGCAGAAUAAAACCAAACUUCGCGAACGCGAUGGACGAUGCCCUCUCCACAUAUGGCAAUCGCAGGUGAAGGGAAACAAUCGUUGUGUUGACAUAAUGCAAGUGGAUGCUGGUGAUGAGGCAAAAUGGGCGCCGGAGGUAAGUUUGCAAGAGUCGGCAAGACUGUUCCACAGAGCGUUGCGACCAUUGCAAAUUUGAUUCGUCGUAGCAAUAGGCACCUUCAAUGUCCGCGUAUGACUUGCUCUAUCAGCGGCGCAGAUAUGGAUGGUGCCCCCAUAACACCUCCCCCGGCCACCUCAGAGAGGACCUGUGUGCCUCACGCCCGCCCACUUACGAGGCAAGACUCGAACGGCACCAGCACAGCACAGGCUGGGCAGCAUGUGUGCCCAGCGGGGCUGUGUCCUGUCCAGCUUCAGGACAUGCUCUCGUCCAAAUCCAAACAGACUUUUGUACUGUGAUUGUACCCAAGAUCUAAUGCGUGAUGCAGAUCUCCAACCGGACUCUGUGCCUGAACCCUUCAACCCAUUCCACUCGUGUUGCAGUUGCUCCAUUACCAGAUAGCCCGCGUACCGGCUUUUGUACUACUUAACAAACAAGGUGGGAACGUCAGGUACCCCUGGUCUCAUGUCAUAAGGAGGGCUUGGUCGUUUGCUUGAUUGGGUGUUACCUGACCGUUCCCGGCAACGUUAAGGCUUGUGGCGUUGCAAGGUGCAAGUGUAGGUCCUUCGUGCAGGUCAAGCAGUCGCAUCAAUUACGCAGCCCCACUCAUACGAGCAGAUGCGGUGCAUCUUGGGCGCCCUGCUCGCCAGGGCAACACAGCCUUGACGGAGUUGACUCUUCCGUUCUGAGAGGGCCUGAGAGAGCUCUGGAUGGAGCCGUUGAUUUCCUUCUUCGCAACAAGUAGGACAUGGCUGGCGAAGAUUCUUCUACCUGACCAGUGUAAAGCAAAAAGUGGACAAGGAUGAUGCACGAGGCUAGGGCCGUUCGCAGCCCUCACAGCACAGUACGGCCAUGUGUACGGGAGAGGAGCCACUGAUACAGGGGGGGUAUCGCUAUUCCCGUCGGCUUGCAUGCAGCAACGUGCGUGUGCACCAGCACAACAGGCGGUAUUCACCACCAUGCGCACACCUACCUGUAAAAGUAGUCAAGCUGAUAGUCAAGCUGAUAAUCAAGCUGAUUCUUUUAGUUUGUGUAGCAUGUAAUCGGUGAUUUCGGAUGCCUAGCUAGGGUCCAGAUAUUGCCUUGCGACCUGAGGUCCCUAAACCUAAGCAUAAGCAGCAUAGCCAAGUGAACUUGGCCUUACUCCUUGAAGCUGGAUCCAUGCUGGAAAGGUGGCAUUUAUGGUGUACCAUAACUAUCUGGGCAGUUUUUGCUGUCCCAAUGUUGUCAAAACGUUUUCCCUCAGCUUUGCACUAGUGCCGUUAUAUUACACGAAGCGCUGUUAGCUUCGUCAGAGUUCAGACACUUCUUUGACGUCCCUUUUUUUUGUGUGUGUUACAUGGUUGGGGGUGCGUGACCCCAUACCUGUAAGACAACCCAUACGAGCCGAAGGCCCAAGGGCAAUACUACAACGCCUAAAAGCCACGGAGGAAAGGAAAACACCGCACAUCAGCCCAGGCUAGCGUCCAAAGGGGGUAACUGAGUUUCGGUGAGCCCACAUACGUUCCAACAUCCUUGCCAGCCGUGCUGGUUCCCAUUUCAUGGCCUCCAACGUGCUCUGUUGAUGAUCGAAUCCCUCUUCAGCACGAAUACCAUUGUAAGCUGUGCAUU
rnacentral:lncRNA from 1 species